GAAAAGCAAGAACCUGUGGUGGCGCGUGGGCAGCGAGCGGCGGAGACACGGCGGCGUUUGCAAUAAAUUUUUCCGGUGGCCGUGAAAUGGGUUCGAGAGAGCGAAAGAAAGCCGCAGCUUCUUCUCAUCAAAAGUCUAAAGAAUUUCGUGCAUCCACAAGCUCUAGUGCUGUAGUGAAUGUGGAGAAUUUAGAGAGAGGUUUUCUUAUAAAUGUAUUUUUGGAAAGAAAUUCACCAGGAUUGUUGGUUCGAAUUCUAGAAGCCUUUGAGAAAUUAGGGCUUGAAGUCCUCGAUGCUGACGUGUCUUGUUCUGAUUGUUUCCAACUCCAAGCUGUUGGGGAAGAGAAUGAAGGGACAAAAAUCAUAAAGGCCCAAGUGGUGAAAAAUGCAGUAAAGCAAGCAAUCAAGGAAUGGAGUGAAAGUAAUGGGCAAGCAUGAAAUAUAUAAUAUUUAUAUUACAAUUAUUUAUUUUUCCUUUUUUUCUUUUUCCCCAAACAGAACAUCUCUUCUGUGUAUAGGGUAACCAAAAUUUGAACUCUCUUUCAAGUGUAGAACUCAAAAAAAU
rnacentral:misc_RNA from 1 species